AGCAGUCGCCGCGGGAACACGGAGGGAGCUAGCGUUGUUCGGAAUUACUGGGCGUAAAGCGCGCGUAGGCGGUUACUCAAGUCAGAGGUGAAAGCCCGGGGCUCAACCCCGGAACUGCCUUUGAAACUAGGUGACUAGAAUCUUGGAGAGGUCAGUGGAAUUCCGAGUGUAGAGGUGAAAUUCGUAGAUAUUCGGAAGAACACCAGUGGCGAAGGCGACUGACUGGACAAGUAUUGACGCUGAGGUGCGAAAGCGUGGGGAGCAAACAGGAUUAGAUACCCCGGUAGUCCCUGUCUCUUAUAC
rnacentral:rRNA from 1 species